rnacentral:rRNA from 1 species
AUGGCGGAAGCUUUAACACUCAAAUUUAGUCUAACACUGACGCAAAGGGCGGGGUGUAAUCGCAUAAUCAUCAAUUCAGACAAUCUGGAGGUGAUAGAGACUAUGCAAGACGGAGGACAAUCAGCGGGUGCGGCGGCAUCAAUUUUCGAUGAUUGCUUUCACUAUGCAUGUGAUUUUGUCAUAACUAAAUUCGAACAUUGUUAUGGAGAGGCAAAUAAAGUAGCUCAUGAACUUGUCAGAUUAGCUAGAUUUUCUUUAACUUCAGACUAUUUUGAGGAGCCUCAAAAUGAAAUUGUAGUGAUCCUCACAAACGAUGUAACGAUUAUCUCAAAUGAAUAA